ensembl:snoRNA SNORD63 Small nucleolar RNA SNORD63
GUGCUGUGAUGUAACUGUCAACACAUCAUUCUGAAAGGGAAUUGUGUGGAGACCUCUUCCAACUGAGCACC